AUGAACGCUGCCAGCAUGCUUAACACCUGCAAGUCUUUGGCGAAGCUGUGCUUGCACAGCCUAGCCAAGGCGGACGGGUGAGUAACGCGUAAGGAACUUGCCCUGCAGUCAGGGAUAACAGACGGAAACGACUGAUAAGACCUGGUAAAGUCAGGCGGACUCAUGUCCAGCCUGAUGAAAAGAGAUGCUGCAGGAGAGCCUUGCGUCCUAUUAGCUUGUUGGUGGGGUAACGGCCCACCAAGGCGAUGAUAGGUAGCCGGCCUGAGAGGGUGGACGGCCACAAGGGGACUGAGAUACGGCCCUUACUCCUACGGGAGGCAGCAGUGGGGAAUAUUGGACAAUGGGGGCAACCCUGAUCCAGCAAUGCUGUGUGCACGAUGAAGGUUUUCGGAUUGUAAAGUGCUUUCAGCAGGGAAGAAAAAAUGACGGUACCUGCAGAAGAAGCGACGGCUAAAUACGUG
rnacentral:rRNA from 1 species